rnacentral:tRNA from 1 species
GCGAUCAUAGUGUAGCGGUCUAACACUACUCCCUGUGGAGGAGUCAACACGGGUUCGAAUCCCGUUGAUCGCC